AAGGGUAUAUUUCUACAUCUAAAAAGAAGUUUUCUGACAGGAAUCUGUCUACUUUCCAAACAGAAUCCCUUAAUAUGGCAGAUGAAACGGACAAAAACACAGACAUCAUAUACACUGAGUUGAACAGCCUUUGUCUGAAGGAGAAUAGAGGAACGCGAUUUACAAGCAACACCCUAACUACAAUCUACUCUGAGGUCAGAGUCUUAUGAGGUUGAAUAGAAGACCCACACCUUAACUAAGUUAAUUUGCUGCCUGGAGGGACUGACUGCUAACCCAGUACCAUCCUCCCCUGUGUUCUUUGUGAGGUGAUGAUUGACAGUUGCUUGGCAGGUGAUUGUUGUUUAACUCUUUUUGUGCAGCUCCAUUAAACUUCUUUUUGAGUAACUAAGUCCUUGUAGAAAAAAAUAUCUGCUUCUGUCAAGCCUUUCCCCUGAAUGUCAAUGCACAGAGAGCUAUUGUAGUUCCCUAUUGAGCAGCCAAACUUUAUUAAACUGGCAAAGCAGGAAUGUUGCCAUGGGAUGUCAAAAGCCAUAAAAGGACAAAUACAUUUAGAGUAAAAGGCAGAUUUGCUGUACUCUGGAGUGUAGCACCUGCGGCAAGCAUCGUAGUGACCUCCUGCUCCAGUUGGUCAAUAAGAAGGACAAAGGUUGGAAUGUGGACAUCUCAUUAAUGAACACCUUUCUAAAAUUGCUGUUAUGUGUUAAUGUAUGUUUAUGUAUCUCAUUAGUUUUGCUGUUUUUGAGUAGUUACAUGUUUUAUUUUCAUGUAUUUUCUGUUAGGGCUGUAAUUAAAUAUUGUCUUUUUAAAAACACCUCCAUUCCUUGUUGCUGUUGGGUGGAGCCCCAAGAGGCAGGGUUGUUCUUAUGGUACAGCUGCUGGGUCCUCCUUCUCAUUUUAUCUUCAAAGCCAGAGAGUGGAUUCAGCAGUUGAGCAUUUGUUUAUGGUUGGAGUUUGUAAGUAUUUUGCCCAAUUGAUUUUUUUUAUUGUUGUUUUGAUGGUUUCAUCUGCCGCCAUUUUGUCUGGGGUUUUUGCCUUGCAGGCACUGCCAUUUUGUAUUCUAUUAAUCUGAUGGUAGCCAUUGCCCUGACUCUAUAGAUAAAGAUGAACUUU